AAAGGGUUGAGGUGUUGGAUGUCCACCUCACCCUCUCUUCUUCCCUUAACCCAAGAAGGAGUCACAAUCUUUCUCAGUGAUGAGCUGUGCCAGAUUCGUGGGACUAAUGCAGAAAAAGUGAAAUUGCUCUUCUUACCUGUUUUAGUGCAGCUGAUCUUGGAUUUUUUAUUUACAUGGGGUACUGCAACUUCUUAGAUGAAUUCUGGACUUCUCAUAAAGGAGAGGCCGUGGCAUUUAAGGGCUGAAGCCGACAUGUGGUGGAACAUCUUCCCCUCUACAAACUGACUACAACCCAGAAGGCAGUGGUGACAGCAAAGAAUGAGAAUAAGUAACACUCGGGCAGCACCUCUGUGGAACUCUAGAGGCUGGAGGCGUUCGGGUCCUGGAACAGGUGGUGAAAGAAAGAAGGUAUCAGUCUAUGUAAUACUCGGGAGCUCAACCAAUCUUGCUUUGAGACUCCA